rnacentral:lncRNA from 1 species
CACGUUCAAUUAUAAGUCCUCAGAAAUUUGUUUAAAAUCGUUGCAGCUGGGAGAUGUAAAAAACCUUAUGAAUGAGGAAAAUCGAAGUGAAUUAUACUUCACGGGGAAGUCUCUCAAUGGAAAAUGUGGUAAACAGGCCUGGAGGAAAAAAGGAAACAGAUGCUGACUGAUAAGAAAUGCUUAUUUUAACAGGGAGACACCAGCAUGGAUGUGCUGGGGUUUAAAGAAGGACUCAGCAGAUCUGUUUUUUCUCUCUGCAGGUGGCUCGGCUUCAGUGAACUGAAAUAUCUUGAUCAAAAGAUAAAAUGCAUUUCACCUCCGAGAGUGAAAACAGCCUGGAUCCUCACCAUGUUUGAAGCUCUGGGUGGCCGUGACUUCUGCCGUGUGGACCAGUAACAGAAGCCAGUUGCAAAAAGAGAAGAAUGAAGUCAACAUACAGAGGCUGUCUUUUGCCAAGACCUUUCAUGCCAGAUGGGUCUUUGAAAUAAUGCAAAAGCAUCUGUUAUUCAGGUUUCUUUUUUUCUUCUUC